GAUGAACGCUGGCGGCGUGCCUAAUACAUGCAAGUCGAGCGAACGGACGAGAAGCUUGCUUCUCUGAUGUUAGCGGCGGACGGGUGAGUAACACGUGGAUAACCUACCUAUAAGACUGGGAUAACUUCGGGAAACCGGAGCUAAUACCGGAUAAUAUUUUGAACCGCAUGGUUCAAAAGUGAAAGACGGUCUUGCUGUCACUUAUAGAUGGAUCCGCGCUGCAUUAGCUAGUUGGUAAGGUAAGGGCUUACCAAGGCAAUGAUGCAUAGCCGACCAGGGAGAGGGAUCGGCGACACUGGAACUGAGACACGGUCCAGACUCCUACGGGAGGCAGCCGUAGGGAAUCUUGCGCGAUGGGCGAGAGCAUGACGGAGCAACGCCGCGUGAGUGAUGAAGGUCUUCGGAUCGUGAAGCUCUGUUAUUAGGGGAGAACAUAUGUGUAAGCAACUGUGCACAUCUUGACGGUACCUAAUCAGAAAGCCACGGCUAACUACGUG
rnacentral:rRNA from 1 species